GGCAAAAUGGCAUAGUGGAAAAAGCACUAGCUUUUGGAAUCAGAAAAUCUAGGUUCAAAUCUCAGCUCUGCCA
rnacentral:tRNA from 1 species